rnacentral:rRNA from 1 species
AGUGAACGCUGGCGGUAGGCCUAACACAUGCAAGUCGAACGGCAGCACAGUAAGAGCUUGCUCUUACGGGUGGCGAGUGGCGGACGGGUGAGGAAUACAUCGGAAUCUACUUUUUCGUGGGGGAUAACGUAGGGAAACUUACGCUAAUACCGCAUACGACCUACGGGUGAAAGCAGGGGAUCUUCGGACCUUGCGCGAUUGAAUGAGCCGAUGUCGGAUUAGCUAGUUGGCGGGGUAAAGGCCCACCAAGGCGACGAUCCGUAGCUGGUCUGAGAGGAGGAUCAGCCAAACUGGAACGAGAACACGUUCCAGACUCCUACGGGAGGCAGCGGUGGGGAAUAUUGGACAAUGGGCGCAAGCCUGAUCCAGCCAUACCGCGUGGGUGAAGAAGGCCUUCGGGUUGUAAAGCCCUUUUGUUGGGAAAAAAAAGCAGCAGGUUAAUACCCCGCUGUUCUGACGGUACCCAAAGAAUAAGCACCGGCUAACUUCGG